rnacentral:tmRNA from 1 species
GGGGGUGCUCGGUUUCGACGGGGCACUGAGGGUUUUGGGAGCAUGCCAAGGACCGUGACCUUGUAAAAACGCGGACAAUUAUAAACGCAGAAGAAGAUUACUCUUUAGCGCUUGCUGCCUAAGUGUAGCACAUCUUUGGUUGCGGUUUCGCCUGUGGCGGACUAGAGGUGUAAAAUUAGCAGGCUGGUUAGAUGGUUUGCCCUGCGCCGUCUAAUAAGAUUUAGGGGCUAUUAUCAAGCUUAGCUCGGCUGUAAGCGUAGCUUGAAUGAAACUUAAAUGCAGCAUAAGCAUGUAGUUGCCUUUAGCUGUAGGUUCUUCGGACGAGGGUUCGAUUCCCUCCACCUCCA